rnacentral:rRNA from 1 species
UACAGAGGUCCCAAGCGUUGUUCGGAUUCACUGGGCGUAAAGGGUGCGUAGGUGGCCGGUUAAGUCUGACGUGAAAUCCCUCGGCUUAACCGGGGAACUGCAUCUGAUACUGGAUGGCUUGAGUUCGGGAGAGGGAUGCGGAAUUCCAGGUGUAGCGGUGAAAUGCGUAGAUAUCUGGAGGAACACCGGUGGCGAAGGCGGCAUCCUGGACCGACACUGACGCUGAGGAGCGAAAGCCAGGGGAGCAAACGGG